rnacentral:rRNA from 1 species
CAUGUAGGCGGAUUAAUAAGUUUGAAGUGAAAUCCUAUAGCUUAACUAUAGAACUGCUUUGAAAACUGUUAAUCUAGAAUGUGGGAGAGGUAGAUGGAAUUUCUGGUGUAGGGGUAAAAUCCGUAGAGAUCAGAAGGAAUACCGAUUGCGAAGGCGAUCUACUGGAACAUUAUUGACGCCGAGAUGCGAAAGCGUGGGGAGCAAACA